rnacentral:rRNA from 1 species
GAUGAACGCUGGCGGCGUGCCUAAUACAUGCAAGUCGAGCGAACAGACGAGGAGCUUGCUCCUCUGACGUUAGCGGCGGACGGGUGAGUAACACGUGGAUAACCUACCUAUAAGACUGGGAUAACUUCGGGAAACCGGAGCUAAUACCGGAUAAUAUAUUGAACCGCAUGGUUCAAUAGUGAAAGACGGUUUUGCUGUCACUUAUAGAUGGAUCCGCGCCGCAUUAGCUAGUUGGUAAGGUAACGGCUUACCAAGGCAACGAUGCGUAGCCGACCUGAGAGGGGGAUCGGCCACACUGGAACUGAGACACGGUCCAGAGUCCUACGGGAGGCAGCAGUAGGGAAUCUUCCGCAAUGGGCGAAAGCCUGACGGAGCAACGCCGCGUGAGUGAUGAAGGUCUUCGGAUCGUAAAACUCUGUUAUUAGGGAAGAACAAAUGUGUAAGUAACUAUGCACGUCUUGACGGUACCUAAUCAGAAAGCCACGGCUAACUACGUG